UGCAAGUCGAACGCUUUGUGGUCCAACUGAUUUGAAGAGCUUGCUCAGAUAUGACGAUGGACAUUGCAAAGAGUGGCGAACGGGUGAGUAACACGUGGGAAACCUACCUCUUAGCAGGGGAUAACACUUGGAAACAAGUGCUAAUACCGUAUAACACUAAUAACCGCAUGGUUAUUAGUUAAAAGAUGGUCUUGCUAUCACUAAGAGAUGGUCCCGCGGUGUAUUAGCUAGUUGGUAAGGUAAUGGCUUACCAAGGCAAUGAUACAUAGCCGAGUUGAGAGACUGAUCGGCCACAAUGGGACUGAGACACGGCCCAUACUCCUACGGGAGGCAGCAGUAGGGAAUCUUCCACAAUGGACGAAAGUCUGAUGGAGCAACGCCGCGUGUGUGAUGAAGGGUUUCGGCUCGUAAAACACUGUUGUAAGAGAAGAAUGACAUUGAGAGUAACUGUUCAGUGUGUGACGGUAUCUUACCAGAAAGGAACGGCUAAAUACGUGCCAGCAGCCGCGGUAAUACGUAUGUUCCAAGCGUUAUCCGGAUUUAUUGGGCGUAAAGCGAGCGCAGACGGUUAUUUAAGUCCGAAGUGAAAGCCCACAGCUUAACUGUGGAAGUGCUUUGGAAACUGGAUAACUUGAGUGCAGUAGAGGAGAGUGGAACUCCAUGUGUAGCGGUGAAAUGCGUAGAUAUAUGGAAGAACACCAGUGGCGAAGGCGGCUCUCUGGACUGUAACUGACGUUGAGGCUCGAAAGUGUGGGUAGCAAACAGGAUUAGAUACCCUGGNAGUCCACACCGUAAACGAUGA
rnacentral:rRNA from 1 species